rnacentral:lncRNA from 1 species
AAUCCCCGCAGGCGCUGGGUCUGCAGAUGGCGUCCAGGUACACAGUGGCGAGUGUGAUUCCGCAGUCUUGGGCUGUUUGGCCAAGCGCCCGCCGGACAUGGUACGCCGAAGGGUCAUCGGCGUGGAGUCCUCGCUUUCAGCGUCCGCGGCUGGGAAAUCGGCCAUCGCUACGGCGGGAACUGGGACUCGGGCUGCGUCCCGGCCCUUCCACAUCGGUCCACCGCACUCGUGGGCGCCCGCAUUGGUGCUGACAUAAUUUCCUGACCUCUGACCCGUAUUGUCUCGCGAUUAAAGAGCUGCGCCUGGAUCCCUCAGCAGUGAGGAGACCUGAAGACCAGAGGAAACACAGCAAACGGAGCCUUGCUCUGUUGCCCAGGCUGGUGUGUAGUGAUCUCAGCUCACUGCAAGCUCCACCUUCCGGGUUCACACCAUUCUCCCACCUCAACCCCCGGAGUAGCUGGAACUACAGCCUCCUGCCACCACGCCUGGCUAAUUUUUUUUUUGUAUUUUUAGUAGAGACGGGGUUUCACCAUGUUAGCUAGGAUGGUCUCGAUCUGCUGACCUCGUGAUCCACCCGCCUCGGCCUCUCAAAGUGCUGGGAUUAAAGGCGUAAGCCACUGCGCCUGGCUGUUUUUUCAUUUCUAUUAUGAUUUGUCCUGUGGAAUGUCAGUGACUUAGCGGUAUUUUUAUCACACGUUUAUAAAGCUGAAUAGUUUUGUAUGUCAGCUCAGCACCCUUAGUGUCAGCCAUGCUAGUCUCCUGCUGUGCAUAGAUCGAGGCCUGUCCAUACCCGAAUCUCCUGGGUUCCCACUGUCAGCACCUGAAGGUACCCACCAGAUGUGUCUGUCACUUCCCUACAUCCACCUCUAUUGUGGUUCUCAUGUUUCUGCCUCCCUAGAGACCAUUUCUCUGUAGAGCAGCGCUUUCGAAUAGAAAUACAAUGCCAGACACAUAAGUUGUUUUAGAUUUUCUAGUAGUCACUUUAGAAAAGUUAAAAAGAAACAGGUGAAAUUAAUGUUUUAUUUCACCUAAAAUGUUAGCAUUAUCCAAAAUAUCACUUCAACAUCUUAUCAAAAUAAAAUUAUUAAUGAGAUUGGUUACCGUUCCGAUAAAUAGGUGAACUGAGAGCAUACACAGUAGUAUUCUGUUCUAAUUUCUGCUUCACUGUGAGUGUCUUGACAUAGUCUUAAAAGAGUAUUGCUGUGAAAUAUUAUACAUGUAACUCAUAACCUCUACAAUUCUGCAGUUGUAAUUGGUUGUCUUACCUAAUAAUCAGUUGCUUUGCUUCAUAAUAUUUAAAUUGGCAUCUCUAUUUUCCAAAAGGCAUAAAUACUAGUAUAGUUUUUUAGUUAAGCCAGGAGAAAGUUCACUUUAUUUACAUAACUUAUACGUAAAAAUUUAAUAAAUCUCCCUGCUUCUUUUCUUUUGCAUCAUAACAACCACUGAAAAUAAUAUUUCUAUGGCAGUUGGGGGUAAAUGGACAAUAGCUUUUGUGACCAGAGGUGAAUGGCCCAGGGUCUCCAGCACUCCAGGUCCCACUGAGCCUGCCCCACAGCUGAGGGCAUCGGUAUUUCCACACACCUAUAAUGUACAGUGCCCCAGAACAGAGAUCGGAUGCUCUGCUUUAUUCAGAUGGGGUGUUGAGAGUAUUGUCAUUGUAAUUGAAUUAGUAAGUAAGUAUUUAUACACUGUUAAAAUCUGGUUGGAUUUGUGUCCCUUCACAAAACAAAUUGCUUAAAUGAAACCACAGAGUUAACAUAAUUGACUACAUCUGCUUCUAUGAGCUGCUGUUCUAACAUUUAACUAGAAUCUAAUUUGAAAUUAGUCAAUAAAAAGUUUAUUCAACUGAAUUAUAUUUAGACUUUUUGUUGUUGUUGUUGUUUUGAGAUGGAGUUUUGCUCUUGUAGCCCAGGCUGGAGUGCAAUGGCGCGAUCUUGGCUCACUGCAACCUCCUUCUCCCGGGUUCAGGCGAUUCUCCUGCCUCAACCUCCCGAGUAGGUGGGAUUACUGGUGCCUGCCACCACGCCCAGCGUGAAGCACUGCACCCGGCCUUCAUAGAUUAUUUUACUUUAUUUUAGUUACUUAUUUUUAUGACUUUAUUGUUAUAAAAAUGCUUGUUUUUAAAAAAAAUCAACCAGUAUAACAAAGAACAAAGAAGAUAAUCAACAAGCAUUCCCACCUCCAUGAUUUAGAAAUAACUGUCAUCAAUACAGGAAAAUACCAUGCCAUUCUUUCUCCUCUAGGCACAUGGACAGACAGAUAGAAGGAUGGGAAAAUAGAUAGAUGGUCCAGGCACAAUGGCUCACGCCUGUAAUCUCAGCACUUUGGGAGGCCAAGGCGUGUGGAUUACCUGAGGUCAGGAGUUUGAGACCAGCCUAGCCAACAUGGUGAAACCCCAUCUCUACUUAUAAUACCCAAAAAAAAAAAAAAAAAAUUGGCCAGGAAUGGUGGUGGGCUCCUGUAAUCCCAGCUACUCAGGAGGCUGAGGCAGGAGAAUCACUUGAACCCAGGAGGUGGAGGUUGCAGUGAGCCGAGAUUAUGCCAUUGCACUCCAUCCUGGACAACAGAGUGAGACUCCUUCUCAAAAAAAAAAAAAAAAAAAAAAAGAACAGUUGAUGAAGGAUGGAUAGACUAAAACAAUGCUGCAUUAAUGAGGCUACGAUAGUGCGUAUUUGUAUAAAAAGCAUUAAUUUGCAUUUGUUGGCAUUUUGAAGCUCUGUUGUUGGAUGCAUACACAUUUAGUAUCUAUAUGUCGUUAUGAUUUGUAAAUCAUGUAAUGCGUCUCUUUACAUAAUGAUUUUUAAAUUAUUUUGUAAUGUUUCUCAUUACGUUAUGUAAUGCCCUUAUUAACUUUCCUUGGAAAUCUUUUUUACCCGUUAUCCAUACAACCACUCUUGCUUUCUUAAUACUGAUGUUAGCAUGAUAUACCUUUUUUCUUUUGUUCGUUUUUUAUUUUAACUGUCAACUUACCUAUGCUGUGUUUGAAGUGAGGUUCUUGUACGUGGCAUGUAGUUGGGUUAUGUUUUAUUUUAUUUAAACUGCCAUCUCUGUCCUUUACAUCAAAGGUAAAUUGAUGUUCUUAGACCACGUACCUUUAAAGUAAUUCUUGAUGUGUUAAAGCUUAAUUCUGCCAUUUUAUUAUUUGUUUUCUGUUUGUUUCCUGUUUCCCUGUUCUAGUCUUCCACUGGAUACUUGAUCACUUUUAAAAUUCCAUCUUGUUUAAUUUAUACUGUAUUUGAGUAUAUCACUUACAUAGUUCUUUUGGUGGUUGCUCUAGGUAUUACAGUAUAUAUCUAUAACUUAGCCUAUUGCUAUCCACAUUUAAGUACUUGCAGUGGAGCAUUGAAAACUUACUUUCAUUUAGGUCUUUACCCUCUCUACCUUUUAGAUAUAAUUGUUUCCAAUGUUUCCUUUUUCAUAUUGAGCAUUCCAACAUAUGCUUUUAUAAUUUUUGCUUGAGUCAUCAAAUAUGAUUUCAGAAAUUCAUAAGAAGGAGAUUCUUACGGCUUUGUGGCCCUAGAUAUACUGCCUGUAGUAUACUGACCAGUGGCUCCAGACCUCUUUUCUUUGGUGGGAGAGGGUCUGGCACUUGGGUGGGCCUUGCCAAAAUUUUCUUUCUCUGUUGUUGACCAUCAUCUCCCUCUGAAGUUUACUGCCUGACCUGUUUCUGUGUUUGGUUACUCCAGGUGAACUUGUGCUAUUUCUGUUGUCUUUAGGUUGAGAGUGGUAGAACUUUUUUUUAACUUCAUUCUAUCAUCUUUACCCCAAAGUCUUACAUUUUUAAUAAAAUUAAAAGCCACCAUUUUUGGUCCUUUGUCAGUGACAGCUAUCUAAAGAAAGACAUUAGCAGCUUUUUAGAUAUUUAAGGAAGUUUCUGUCAUUCUUUGGUUGUCAUAUCUUUAGGAAACAUUUUUUUCCCUAAAUUACUCCAAAUUAAAUUAAUCCUACAGUUGGUCUAAUUUAAUUUUUUUUUUUUUUUUUUUUGAGACAGGGUCUCAUUCUGUAACCCAGGCUGAAGUGUAGGGGUGGAAUCAUAGGUUAUUGCAGCCUCAAACUCCUAGGCUCAAGAGAUCCUCCCACCUCAGCCUCCCAAGUAACUGGAACUGCAGGUGUGCACCGCCAUGCCUAGCUAAUUUAAAAAUUUUUUUGCAGAGGUGGGGUUGGGUCUCACUAUGUUGCCCAAGCUGGUCUCAAAUACUUGAGCACGAGUGAUUCUGUUACCCUGGCUUCCCAAAGUGCCGGGAUUACAGGUAUGAGCCACCAUGCCUGGCCCAGUUACUUGCUUUUUAAAUAGCUCAAAAGUUUUUCAUCCUUUUAACCAAAGUUGCCAAAUCUAAAGCAUUAUUCCUUUUGGUCAUCAAGUAGAGGAAUGGAUGAAUAUAUUUCAGUUUGCUUAUUACUAAAAUAUGUUAGUAAUAGCAUAUUUUAUUCAAAUCACUGCAUAUUAGCUCUGUCUUAUUUUCCAUUUUCAUGACAAACACACCCAAAGCUCAGCUCACUGUAUUUACUUUCUUUUCAUGAUACUGUUUGCUAAGUUUUUUCUGUUUGCUUCACCAUAUUUUGAACAAUUUUCUAUUAAACUAGGAUAUUUUAAAAGUUUGCCUUUUCAGGCCGGGUGUGGUGGCUCACGCCUGUAAUCCCAGCACUUUGGGAGGCCGAGGCAGGCGGAUCACGAGGUCAGGAGAUCGAGACCAUCCUGGCUAUCGAGACCAUCCUGGCUAACACGGUGAAACCUCGUCUCUACUAAAAAAAAUACAAAAAAUUAGCCGGGCAUGGUGGCAGGUGCCUAUAGUCCCAGCUACUCGGAGGCUGAGGCAGGAGAAUGGCGUGAACCCUGGAGGCGGAGCUUGCGGUGAGCCGAGAUGGUGCCACUGCACUCCAGCCUGGGCAACAGAGCAAGACUGUGUCUCAAGAAAAAAAAAAAAUAGUUUGUGUUUUCAAUUGUCUUAUUUAGACAAACUCUGUAGUUUCAAAGUUAUCUUUUUCUUGCCUGAUGCCUUUGAUGUUUGAUGAUGUUAAUAAUAUACUAUUUUCAAAGCCAAUUUCUUAUUUCUACACUGAUAUUGGAAAAAGAAUAAAGUGAUGAAGUCAACAGGUGUUAUUAAAAAAUGUGAAUAACAGGAAAAUGUUUUGUUGUUUGUUUUGUUUUGUCUUUGAAGUCUUUCACAGACUAGAUUUGAAGGUUUAUGAAGGAUAGGGCAAAAUUUUCUAAGGAAAGUUGCAUCCUAUGACCUCAGGCUGACUUCAAGUAAGAGUGGAUUUGAUAAAGGCAUUGUCUUUCUUAGAGUAUGUGCAUCUUGGCAGAGGAGCCUGGAGAGGCAGUAUAGAAGGAUUGUUUUAGAUGUUGGAUCUCUGUAACCUGCAUUUACAUUUUGUUGAGCCGUUGUCAUUUGGGGGAAAACACGAAAAAGAAAAGAUCAUUAUCAUGCUACUAUAAUGCACAUCACAUAGAAUUGCAAUGAUUUGUUGGUUGUUCAUUCCAGUCCAAGAACUGUGAGUUUCUCCAGCCAAAGGUCUUGUAUUUAUUGAUCUUUCUGUCCCACAGGCCUAAAACAGCAGUUGGCCCAUGGACAGUUUAAUAAAUGUUUGCUGACUAAUAGAUAGGGUAUCUAAAAUCUUUUCCAUGGCCUUAUCUCUGGAGAUUAAAAUUUUCCAGCACUUGUCUAUAAAAGAUGUCUAUGCGUAACUGUAGGGAAGACAUUGUAAUUUCUGAAGAGGAGGAGCAAACCGACAAGGUUAUUGUAGCAUUGAUUAUAAUGCAUGGUAGCAGUCUAUUCUCAGACCUUUAGAUGCCUAUUUACCUGAUGCACUGGCACCAAUGCCCCCAUUUUGGUGUGCCAUCUUCCCUUCACCACUUGGGACAACACAGAUAAUAAAAUCAGCUCCAAAAGCUAACCCAUGGUGGAUCCCUUCACACCAGUUCACGGUAGAAAGUAACCCCCUUGCUUGUAGAAAACAUUAUUAUUAUUAUUCUUCAGAUGGAGUUUUGCUUUGGUAGCCUAGGCUGGAGUGCAAUGGCGCGAUCUCGGCUCACUGCAACCUCUGCCUGAUGGGUUCAAACGAUUCUCCUGCCUCAGCCUUCCAAGCAGCUGGGAUUACAGGCGCGCAUCACCAUGCCCAGCAAAUUUUUUGUAUUUUUAGUAGAGAUAGGGUUUCGCUAUGUUGGCCAGGCUGGUCUUGAACUCCUGACCUCAGGUGAUCUGCUCGCUUCAGCCUCCCAAAGUCCUGGGAUUACAGGCAUGAGCCACUGCACCCGGCCUAGAAAACAUCAUUAAAUAGCAAACAGUAGCAGUGUGCUUGGGGAUUUUAGGAUUGAUUAUUUUCAAAUCUCUAGAAAAGCUCAAUGUAUUACCUUAGGCUAUAAUCCCUGGGCAGAGUCUCAUCUGUUAAUGGGAGCUGGUCUAAGGGUCCUUCCAGCUCCCAGAUUGAUGAUUUCCCAGGUUGAUCUGCUCCCUGCCACCCACCCAUCCUCGGUUUUGUUUGUUUUUACAGAGAUAAUGUCUCACUAUGUUGCCCAGGCUGGUCUUGAACUCCUGGCCUCAAGUGAUCCUCCUGCCUUGGCCUCCCAAAGUGCUGGAGUUCCUGAUGUAAGCCACUGUGCUCAGCCCAUCCUUGGCUGUUAAAGUGUGGAGGUAAACAGUAGAUGCCAAGUUUUCCUCCAGGUUAGAAGUGGCAGAUGCCCCAGUACAGAAUAAUGUCCCUAACCAGGCCUCCCACUGCAUGAAGACCUUAUUUUCUGGAGCUUAAACCUGGACAAAGGUCUGACCAGUAGCACUAUGUUCAUGAAUAUCAGGUCAAAAAUUUAAAACUGGGACUAUCCAGAGGAACCUGGUAGCUGCAAGUGUAGUCUGCAGUCCAAUGGUCAGCUAUGAAAACAGGCUACUUGUACUUUCUGUUUGUCAUGGAGUCUGAUGUAAAAAUUGAUGACACUUUCUAACUUCUGGUGUGCUUCCCUUCCUUGUUCAUUUUCCAUAAGUAGCUUCCUCCAUCCCUCUUCCCAACAGGCCACAGUCAAUUCAGGACAUUUUAACCAUGAAAAUGAGUCUCUGUAAGAGGAAUUUAGAGGCCAGGCACGGUGGCCCAGCACUUCAGGAGGUUGAGGCCAGCAGAUCACCUGAGGUCAGGAGUUCUAGACCAGACUGACCAACAUGGUGAAACCCUGUCUCUACUAAACAUACAAAAUUAGCCAGGCAUGGUGGCGGGGGUCUGUAGUCCCAGCUACUUGGAAGGCUGAGGCAGGAGAAUCACUUGAACCCGGGAGGCGGAGGUUGCAGUGAGCUGAGAUUAUGCCUGGGCAAGAAAAGCAAAACUCCGUCUCAAAAAAAAAAAAAAAAAUAAGGAAUUUAAAAAUUAACAUAGAGGAAGGAAUAAAGGGGCCAGCCCCUUAAAAAUCCCCCAAACCUCUUUAACAGGAGUUUAGGUUAUAAUAUAAAUGUGUUGAGGGUACUUUUUGCCUUUGUUGAUGAAGGACUCUAGUGAGAUUGUGCUGAUGAUAUUGCUGUACUUGGAAUGGACUGGUCCUUUCAUUUCCUGGAUUUGUCUCUUUGUUCUUUUGAGUUCAGGCAUAACUUAUGUUAAUACACUUUGCAGAUACUGUGUUUUUGACAAAUUGAAGGUUUUGGCAACCAUGCGUGGAGCGUCCAUCUGUGCCACGUUUCUAUCAUCAUGUGGUCAGUUGGUGACUCUGUCACAUUUUGCUAAUUCUUACAAUACUUCAAAUUUUCCAUUAUUAUUACUCUGUUAUGGUGAUGUGUGAUAGGUGGUCUUUGAGGUAACUGUUGUAACUAUUUUGGGAGGUCAUGAACCAGGACCCUAUAUGAUGGCAAAAUUAAUUGAUAAACAUUGUAUGUGUUCUGACUGCUCCCCUGCCCAGCUAUUUCUCCAUCUUUCUCUCCUUUGCCCUCCUUACUCCUUGAGACUCAACAAUAUUAAAAUUAUUUCAAUGAAUAAUCCUCCAAUGCCCUCUUAGUGUGCAAAUUAAAGGAAGACACAUGUCUUUCACUUUCAGUCAAAACCAAGAAACGAUUAGGCUUAAUGAGGAAGGCCAUGUUGAAAACUGAGACAGGCUGAAAGCUAUACUUCUUGUGCCAAAGUUAGCCAAGUUGUAAGUGCAAAGAAAAAGUUCUCAAAGGAAAUUAGAAGUGCUACUCUGGUGAAAACAUUCAUGAUAAGAAAACAAAGCCCUAAUUACUAUGGAUAUUGCCUAGGGUAGUACUCCACGCCCUCUGGGCACACAAUAGAUAUUAUCUGAUGAACUGGAAAAGAGCAAACCAGAAGUGGCUUUAUUUUCCCACUUGGACUCCCUUGGACUGCCUUGGACUAAUUUUUAAGUCUUGGUUGGAAAUCACCGAGUAGGUUCAUAAGGUGCAUGACAGAAAUAAGCUUUAUAGUGGCUUACUUUCAUUUAGUUCUGGAAGUUUACCUUUGCCUUAGUUUUGGAAGUAAAUUCUAGUUUGUAGAACCAUUUUUGUUGCUCUUUCUUCAGUCUUGAUAUUCCAUUCUCUUCUGUCCUUCCUAAUGGAAUUUAUGCAUUCUUUUACAACAGGUCUGUUGGUUAUAAAUUCCCAGAGUUUUCCUUCAUCUGAGAAUGUCUAUUUUAUGUUCCUUCCUGAAAGAUAUUUUUACUGGCUAUAGAAUUCUGGGUUGAAAGUUCUUUUCUUUCAGCACUUUUCUCCUACACAGAAAAAUGCACUACUCCCUUCUGGCCUUCAUGGUUUCUAACUAGGAAUCCACCAGCAUUAGAAUCAUUGUUAUGGUAAAGUGAUGGUUCUCAACUGCGAACAUUUCCACACCCAAACAAGCAUUUGGCAAUGUCUAGAGACAUUUUGUGCUUGUCACAACUGGAAAUUGCUACUGGCAUCUAGUGAGAAGAGGCUAGGGGUGCUGCUAAACAUCCUACAACGUACAGCAAAGCCCACCAGAGCAGAGAAUUAUUUGACACAAAAUGUCACUAGUUCCGAAGCUGAGAAAUAGUUACAUAUGUGUCAUUUCUCACUGAGUGCUCUCAAGAGUUUUGUCUUUAAUUCUCUGAAAUUUGGAUUUGAUAUUCUAGACAUGGAUUUCAUUGCAUUUAUUCUAUUUGGGUUUCAUUCAUCUUCUUGAAUGUGUAGGUUUACAUCUUUUGCCAAAGUUGGGUAGUUUUAAGGCCUUCUUUCUUCAAAUAUAUUUUUAGCUCUGCUCCUUUUCUGUUUCUGGGACUCUGAUAUGAAUGUUUGAUCUUUUGUUAUUAUCCCUAUGGCCCAUGGGCUUCCAUUCUUUUUUUCCCCCAAUUGAUUUUAUUUCUUGUCUAGAAUGGAUAAUUUCUAUUGAUGAAUGUUCAAGUUUAUUAUUUCCUCUGCCAUCUCCAUUCUGUUAUUGAGCCAAUCCAGUAAUUUUUAAAAAUUUACUUGUUGAAUUUUUCAUUUCCAUUUUUUUCUAUUUGGUUCUUUGUUAUAUCUUCUAUUUCUUUACUUAGUGCCCCCUCCUUUAAUUUGAUUUAAGAGUGUUUGCAAUUGCUUGGUGCAUUUUAAUGAUAGGUCUCUUAAACUCAUUGUCAGUGAAUUAUUAAUGGCAAAAACUGAAAUUACUUUUGCACCAACCAAAUACAGUAUCAGUGUAAUCUUGGUGUUGGUAUCUGUUCUCUUUUUCUAUUAGGUUUAGAUUUGCCUGGUUUUGGUAUAAUGAAUAUUUUUAAUUGUAUCCUUGAUAUUUUGAGUAUUAGGUUAUGAGGCCCAGGUUUCUAUUCAUUUUGUGUUUAACUUUUUAAGAAACUGCCACACUGUUUCCCAAAGUAAUUGUACCAUUUUAAUUUCCACCAGCAGUAUGAGCUUCACCUGCUUCUUAUCUUCACUAACACUUGCUAUACUUAGCUUUUUAAGUGCUAGCCAUUAUAUUAGGCACAUAGUGUUAACUUAUUGUGUUUUAAUUUGCAUUUCACUUGUGACUAAUCAUAUGUUUAUUUGACAUCUGUAUAUCUUCUUUGGGUUGUUGAAUUUUAAGGUCUUUUUAUAUUCAAGUCUUUGUCAGAUAUAUAUAAGAUUAGAAAAUAUUUUCUCCCAGUCUGUGGCUAAUCUUUUCCUUCUCUUCACAAAGUCGGUUAAGAGCAAAAGCUUUCAAUUUUGAUGACUAAUUAAUUUAUUUGUUAAGGACUUGCAGUUUCAGUAACAUAUAUAAGAAAUUUUUGCCUACUCCAAGGUUCUGAAAGUUUUAUAGUUUUAAGCAUAUGAUACAUUUUUAGUUAACUUUUUUUUUUUAAGACAGAAUCUCACUCUGUCACCCAGGCUGGAGUGCAGUGGCGCGACCUCUGCUCACUGCAACCUCUGCCUUCCAGGUUCAAGAGAUUCUCCUGCCUCGGCCUCCCAAGUAGCGGGGACUACAAGCUUGCACCACCAUGUCCAGCUAAUUUUUCUUUUUUUGUAUUUUCAGUAGAGAUGAAGUUUCACCAUGUUGGCCAGGCUGGUCACAAACCAGCCAGCCUCAGCUGAUCUGCCAGCCUCAGCCCCCCAAAAUGCUGGAAUUACAGGUGUGUACCACCAUUCCCAGCAUUUAGUUAACGUUUUUUGUAGGUGCUUUGAGCUAUAAAUCAAUGUAAAUUUUUAAACAUAUAUAUAACAAGUUCUUCUAGCAUUGUUUGUUAAAAAGAUUACCUCUUCUUUAAUAAAUUUCCUUUGCACCACUGUCACAAAUCAGUUGUCCAUGUAUGUGUGUUUCUCAACUCUCUAUUUUAUUCCAUGAAUACCACACAGUCUUGAUUACUGUAGCUUUAUAAUAAGUCUUAAAUUCAGGUAACAUAUGUUCUCCAACUUUUUCUUUUUUUUUUUUUGAGUCGGAGUCUCCCUCUGUCAUCCAGACUAGAGUGCAAUGGCGUGAUCUCGGCUCACUUCAACCUCCGACUCCCAGGUUCAAGCAAUUCUCCCUGCCUCAGCUUCCCAAGUAGCUGGAAUUUCAGGUGCCUGCCAGCAGACCUGGCUAUUUUUGUAUUUUUUAGUAGAGAUGGGUUUUGCCAUGUUGGCUGGUCUUGAACUCCUGACCUCAGGUGAUCUGUCCACCGCAGCCUACCAAAGUGCUGGGAUUACAGGCAUGAGCCAUCGCGCCCAGCCUAUUUUCCAACUUUCAGAAUUAUUUUUAAAAGUUGUUUUCACUAAUCUAGGUCCUUUGCAUGUCCAUAUGUAUUUUAGAAUUGAGUUCCCAAUUUCUACAAAACAAAAAGCCUCCUGAAUAUUCAAAAUGGGAUUUCACUGAAUCUAUAGGUCAGGUUGGAAAGAAUUGACAUAUUAAUGGUAUUGAGUCUUGUAGUCUCUGAACAUAGUAUAUCUCUAUUUAGGUCUUUUUUAAAGUUCUCCCAGA